rnacentral:rRNA from 1 species
GACGAACGCUGGCGGCGUGCUUAACACAUGCAAGUCGAACGGAAAGGCCCUGCUUUUGUGGGUUUCUCGAGUGGCGAACGGGUGAGUAACACGUGAGUAACCUGCCCUUGACUGUGUGAUAACUUCAGGAAACUGCGGCUAAUACCGGGGAGGAGCUCCUGCUGCGUGUUGUUGGUUGGAGAGUUUCGGCUGUGGGGGAUGUACUCGCGGCUUAUCGGCUUGUUUGUGGGGUAGUGGCUUACCAAGGCUUUGACGGGUAGCCGGCCUGAGAGGGUUGCCGGCGACAUUGGGACUGCGAUACGGAGCAGUAUCGUACGGGCGGCAGUAGUGGGGAAUAUUGCACAAUGGGGGGAAGCCUGAUGCAGCAACGCCGCGUGCGGGAUGACGGCUUUCGGGUUGUAAACCGCUUUCGCCUGUGACGAAGCGUGAGUGACGGUAAUGAGUAAAGAAGCAACGGCUAACUACGUG